AGGAUCAACGCUGGCGGCGUGCCUAAUGCAUGCAAGUUGAACGAGACCUUCGGGUCGAGUGGCGAACGGGUGAGGAACACGUGGAUGACCGACCCUUGAGUGGGGAAUAACUGCCUGAAAGGGUAGCUAAUACCGCAUACGUUCGCUGAGGUGACGGCCUUGGUGAAGAAAGCCGUAAGGCGCUGAAGGACGGGUCUGCGGCCGAUUAGCUAGUUGGUGGGGUAACGGCCUACCAAGGCGACGAUCGGUAGCCGGUCUGAGAGGACGGCCGGCCACACGGGGACUGGGACACGGCCCCGACUCCUACGGGAGGCAGCAGCAAGGAUAUUGGGCAAUGGCCGAAAGGCUGACCCAGCGACGCCGCGUGGGGGAUGAAGGCCUUCGGGUCGUAAACCCCUUUUAUCAGGACGAAAAUGACGGUACCUGAUGAAGAAGCCCCGGCUAACUACGUGCCAGCAGCCGC
rnacentral:rRNA from 1 species